rnacentral:lncRNA from 1 species
CUCCUUGGUAGCCAUCCCCAGACAUUAUGCCUUUUAAUGAAGCUGAAGACUACAUUUGCUUUCUUGGCUGCUAUAUCAUCCUGUUGACUCAUAUCAUACUUCUAGCCCACUAAAACUUUCAGAUCUUUUUUGAAUAAAUUAGUCUAGCUAAGUAUGUAUGUAUGUAUUUUAUAUAUAUGUCUAUAUGGCCAGAUUUGAACUUAGGGUCUCCUGUCUCUUGGCCUGGCUCUAUCCUAUAUCUCUCUCUAUUUCUCUCUCUCUCUCUCUCUCUCUCUCUCUCUCUCUCUCUCUCCUUUCUCUCUUUCUUUUCUCUCUCUUUUUCCUUCUUUCUUUUCUUUUCCUUCUUUCCUUCUUUCUUUUUGUUUCUCCUUUUCUCUCUCUCCUCCCUCUCUUUGUUUCUCUCCUCACCCCUCCCCACCCUCUCUCCAUAGAAAGCUCACUGUGAGAAACCUGUCCACUUUCAAGGAGUGACAGGCAUUUGGAAUAGAUGAGAAAGUUCUUUGUUGUAGUCUUCAGAGAGAGUUGGCACAAGAGACCUUGGAAAGUUUAGGUCAAAGAAGUAGAAAGAGGAGUCUGGUGGAAGGGGCAAUGUGGUACUGUGAGAAGAAUGCUGGAGCUGUAGUAAGAAGGUGGAGGUUCAAAUCCUGGUUCUGCUACAUUUACUCCCCAUGUGACCUUGGAUAAGUCCCAUUACCCCCCUCAGUUUACUCAUCUGUGCAAUGGUGGCGGGAGGUUGCACUGACACACUCUCUAAAGUCUUUUUUAGAUCUUGGUCUUAUGAACAAUUAUCCUAAGGUAAGCCAUACUGAGUUUAAGCAUGUUUGUUUGCAAACUUCUUUUAAACAGGAAUAGCUUUUCUCUUCUUGCCUCCUAAAGCAGGCAGGAUAUGGCGGUUUUGUUUUCAGAAAACACUGGGGAUUUGAGCAGCAGAUACCUUUAUUAGGAAUCUGUGGACUUCUAGCUCUAGAGAUGGAGAAGAUUUUAGAGUCAUCUGUCUAACAUUUAUUUAAGGGGCAGAAAGGUGGCUCCAUAGAUAGAGAGCCAGGCCUAGAGACAGGAGAUCCUGGGUUCAAAUAUGACCUCAGACACUUCCUAGCUGUGUGACCUUGGGCAAGUCACUUAACUCUAAUUCCCUUACCAUUCUCCUGCCUUGGAACACAGUAUUUGUUCUAAGAUGGAAGAUGAGGGUUAAAACCCCCCACAAAAUACAUUUAUUUAAGGACCUGAGCUAGGUGGCAGGGAUACUGAAAUACUCAAAUGAAAUUUGUGAUCAUUGAUUUUGAAAGUUUCAAUAUGGCAGAACCCUACCUGACUCUCCUGGGGGACUCUUUUGUCCAUGGCCUUCUACAAAUUUCUCAGAGGGAGUUCAUCCGAUAUGCUGGAGGCCCUUUUCAUUUUUCUCCCACUUGCCAGGGUUCCAGACUUCCAAUUUUACAUAUAUUUAU